rnacentral:misc_RNA from 1 species
GUAAAUUCCAAAUCUACAUCUGGUGUCUAUAGUUCAUCAUUGCCUAAUAUUAGUUCGUGUAAGGCUUUGUUGGGGCAUUCAUGCAAUGGGCUAUAAGGCUGUUUACAUUUGUAACAUAAUCCUUUGGCUCUUAAGUGUUGGAAUUCUUGAUGUGAGUAUUGACGUGUUCCUCUGGUUCAUAGGAGUGGAGGGUUGUAUUUAGUGGUGGUUAAUGAAGAAGAGGAAGAAGGAAGGCGUAAUGUGUUUGUGGGUUUGUUUUUCAGGUUCUUUGGAUCAUUUAUAUGUCGUGGUUGAGGAUUUACAGGUCUAGGAGUUGGGCAAGAUGGUUUGGAGCUGAAGUUGGUGUUGGUCCAUGGGCCUAAUUAGCUAGAAGCCCAACGAUCUUGUGACAUUUUCAUCCCUAUCUCACAAUUUCUCAAGCAAAUGUCAUGGUGUGGAAAAUGUCAGUGAAGUCGUGGGCACAAAUUCAAAUCUUAACCUCAUCACACAAGCCAUUCAUGAAGUAUCCCA